GUGGGGAAUAUUGGACAAUGGGCGCAAGCCUGAUCCAGCAAUACCGCGUGUGUGAAGAAGGCCCGAGGGUUGUAAAGCACUUUCAAUAGGGAGGAAAACCUGCCGGUUAAUACCUGGCAGCUUGACAUUACCUAUACAAGAAGCACCGGCUAACUCCGUGCCAGCAGCCGCGGUAAUACGGAGGGUGCAAGCGUUAAUCGGAAUUACUGGGCGUAAAGCGUGCGUAGGCGGUUAAUUAAGUCAGAUGUGAAAGCCCCGGGCUUAACCUGGGAAUUGCAUUUGAUACUGGUUGACUAGAGUUUAAUAGAGGGGAGUGGAAUUUCAGGUGUAGCGGUGAAAUGCGUAGAUAUCUGAAGGAACACCAGUGGCGAAGGCGACUCCCUGGAUUAAAACUGACGCUGAGGUACGAAAGCGUGGGUAGCAAACAGGAUUAGAAACCCCGGUAGUCC
rnacentral:rRNA from 1 species